UCGAGGGCAUUGGUGAGUUAUUCGGUUUCAGUUAGGCGGCCAAUGAACUAGACAGAUUUUGGGAGCAGUACUACAGAGCAAUAAGUAGAGGACGUCUUUGAGAACAACUACGCUUUUAAGGGGGAGAAUAUUAAGCAGUGAACCGCACGAAGUACUAGUCUUGGGGAUGCAAAAUUAGCAACAUGAGAAGGAACCUUCUUAUAGAACGCUGGGCGUUGUCAGUUAUUACGUUGCUCGCCUUGGCGUGCACCGUAGCGGGAGCGGCCUCGUGGUUCACAGAGGGCAUCUCUAAAUGGUCCAUGUUACUGACAAUAAGUGGCGGCGCUCUCUUUUUUGUAAUCCUCUUGGGAUACAUUACCAGUGGGUGUUUUGGCCAAAACGCCGAUGAAUCCACCACGGCUGAGGCACAAUCGGUUGCAGACGACCGACCGCCAAAGUACCGAACGGCCUGGAGGAAAGAGUUCAUGAAAAGUUGUCCUCCCCACCUCAAAGCCGACCUCGAAAAGGGCACCAGGAAGUGGGCAAGAAGCAGCCAUGCAGAGGAAAAUGCAUUGCCUGUGUGGACGACUGGUUUGCAGGUCGAUUUUUGCGGUUUGGGUCCUUAUUCCGACCCGUCCAGAAACAGCGUGGGUCCCUCGUCCCACGAUCCUCCUGCAGAGUGCCAUCCCGUCAGAGGUUCGGUGAGCAUUGGCGAUGCACAGAUCCUCCCAGCAACUUUUCUACCCUCCAGGAAGACGCAAAGGACAGGUGACCCGUGCGACUACGAUUCGGGUUUGCCAAGAUACGAGGAGGUGCAGGAUAUGUGACGAUCUGCAUUGUUUUGCCUAAUUAAUAUUGCUUUCAGUGCAAAGUUUCGCUCCUUAAAUCAUAAUCUGUACUAGGCAUUGCAAAAAGAAAAGCAAACACGAAUCUCUUUCGGUGGGUAGUUGUUCAUUUAAAGGUGUACUGUGCACAUUAUUAUUUUUAGUUACGUAUAAUGUCGGUGGACUUGAGCUCUCUCACGGGAGUGUUUUAUAAUUCAAUGGUACUAUAACGACAAUAGCUCCGAGGCUAGAUAUUUUUUUACAUUUAGAUUUUUUUUACUUGAGUCAUUGUCUUUGACCGCUGUAAUAUCUUUAUUUGUAUGUACGUUGUGGCUAGGUAAUAAUGACUAAAAAUGAUGCACGAAAAACAUCUUUUGACAAAUUUUGAUCUUACAGUUAUUCAAGUAUAGGUGGAUACAACUUACAUAUAAAUCAUGUAUGUAUACGUUUAAAUAAAUAUAUUUCAAACAUAAGGAUGUCAUUAUACAUUUAUUUAUGUUGCAUAUACUAUAAAUAAAUUU